UUUAAAUUGAUAUUUAGGGAUAAAGAUAGAGUUAAUGUAGGGAUUAGCUGAUGUAAUUAGAAUAACAAUUUUUAUUGUAAUAUUGAUAUAGUGAUAUACUGUUUUACACAACACAAAAUGAAUUUUCCUUACUAGACUGAAAUUUUUACUUCAUUGGUUUCACAAGGGUUUUUUUUUUUUAACAUUUUUUUUCUUUUUCUGAUUAAUGCCUCUUUCAGAGUUUACAGAUUUGAUAAUAACUUGUAAAAGAGUGUUUUUGACUGAUUUUGUGUGAGUGGCCAAUCACUCCAUCUUCAUUACAAAUGAAAGAAACCCUCACUGCUCUCUUUGUCAAAAAUUUUUAUGCAGUUAAUAUUGUUAACUCCCCAAAGGUAGCAAAAUGUUAGUAUAAUUUUGGCCAAGGAAAAAUAACAUUUAAUUGUUUCCUGGAGGAUUGAUUCAGUUUUCUAUAUAUCGGUUCUAAAACGGACCUUUCAUCUUUGAUGGCUCUUUUUGUUAGAAAAGAAGAAAUGAAAUUGCCACCUUCCUUUUUAAUUAAUUAGACAACAAAUUACUUGGCCAGGGAAAGGUCUUUGGGUGAUAUGCCUAGUCUUUUUAUAGAAAAAAGGCUACUUUGGGUUCUUUAAAACUUCAUUAUUCAAAACUGAGAUAUUAAUUUAAAUUGCUUUGAAUUCUUAUGUGGCUCACGUUUUUAUCUAGCUUGUAUAGUCCCCCAAAUCUAUCAAAAUUGUUAGUGGAUUUUCUUUCUAAGCCACUUAUUGUAACAACUAUUGUGACGUUCCCUAAUAUUAUUCGAUGUUGAUCAGACAAUAAAAAUAAGUUUCUUACAAAACUGGAAAGAUAAGGGAAUUAUUCUCAGGGCUACUGAACUUUUGAUUAAGUUGAAACAACCUAAUCAAAUUUGGUAACCUAUAGGUGAUCUAUUUGGUGACCAACAUGAAAAUAAUUUUGUUUAUUAUUAGUGGUGCUUCUUUGCAGAUGGGGUCUUAACUUAUAUUUGCUGCUGUAAGCAGGACUAUAUUACAAGUUUCCCCAAGUGUGGGUAUUAUCCUUUAUGGACCAGUCAGCUACUUGCUGUAGAUUUGUUACAUGAAGUGCAGAUAUGAAGUAAAGUUCAGACAAGACAUUUAAUAGUGCCAUCAUUAGAAAUAACCAUACUUUCAUGAGUAUGCUCACCUGUCACUGAAGUCAGAAAGGUCUUGGAGCACUGGUGCAAUGAUGAUGCUGGGAAGUAUCAUGUGAGACAGGUGAUUUUAGUACUGGGAGGACAGGGCCAUCCUGUGGAUUUCUGAUAUGGAAGGUAAGGACCUGGAGUUAGACUUGUAGAGUCAUAGAUAGUUGGAGACAAGAACCUUAGAGGUAGUCUCUUCAAGUAGAUGAAAAGAACUGCCUAGUCCUUGGCCUAGCUGGGACUUGAAUCCAAGCUUUCUGAUUUCUCAUUUGCGACUGAGCACGGGAAGAGGAGAAAAGGUUUAACUCUAGAAGAGGAGGCUUGCUUGGUUCUUUGGAAAUGGCACCUGCAUGGAGGUGCUGUCCGAUGGAUUGGGCGGCUCUCAACACAGCCUGCUCUGGCCACCCAGCAUUUAACGGAAGGGCGUGUCUGACACAACCAUACCAGGCUGUCUUCCCCUCAGCUUUGCAAGUGGGUGGUAAUAGACAGCAUAUCGCAAAUUAAACAAGCAGUCAGGAAACAUUUAUUUGGCACCUGCAAAUGCUUAGUAAAAUUCUCAGAGCCUUCGGGUGUUUAGGGAGGCGUGAUGCAUGGUGCUUCCUCUUUUGUGGAGAGGUGGGGAGAAUGGACUUAGCUAUAAAAGAUGACUGAAAGUACUGCUGGCAAAUGAGGGUAUGGCUGGUAAAUGCCAGCGGAGUUUGGGGGUGGAAGGUGGCUCUGUGGGUCACAGUGCUGGCCUAAGGUUUCCCAGAAGAGGUGAAAAUUAGGUUGGUUGGUUCUGUUAUUAUCAAACACAGAGGCUGCUAGAGUGAGGCAGCUCUGAUGCCAUGGGAGGACCUACUUAAGCCAAAAUCUAAGCCUGUAAAUGCCUCAGGGUUUCAAGAUGGCAACCUAAGGACAACCAAUCACAAAAGGCCAGUUAGGCUUUCAGUUGUAGCCAUUCAGCCCUUUCUUUGCUUUGCUUCCUGCCUUUCUGUGUGCAGGUCUCUCCCUGAGCUCCUCUCAGUGAGGCUCUUCUGACCACUUCCUGCUCGGCUCCGCCCUGUUCAGAUUGGUUUUUGGUCACAUGAACUCUUAACAUUUCAGAUAAACUCAAGACAAACAUACUUCAAUUUGUCUUUUAACCCUUCUCAGCCCAGUAGAGUUUGUGAAUAGCUAUAUGCUCUAAAGAUUUUCGGAUUCAUCUUUCUGUUACAGAGCCGGGACUUGAUUGCAGGUGUUUACCUGACUUCCAGUGGGUACCAUUCCACAGUCCGCACGCUGGGCUGCAUAGGACAGCAGAGGGCUUCUGGCUGAGGGCAUCCCAUUUCUACUUCCCAUCCAGGGGUGUGUUCAUCAGCAGAGCAAGUUCUUUCCACCGGUCUUCUGAAUGUCGCAUUCAGAAGCACCCCCUGGUUUCAGCUACCUCGUUCCCCUUUUGUUUCUUGGAAAAAUAGCUAAAAUUACUUGUUCCAUGUGGGUUUGGUGCAUUUUUUCCAUUUAAGAUGAUCUUUUCCCUAAGACUACGAGAGUGAGAUGGGAUAUUUGUUGAUAGUAAGUGAAACAUAGCAGCAGCUGGCAUUUACAGUGGGUUUUUCUGUUAUUCAAUUAGAUUAUUUUGAUAUUCUGUGUUAUGAAUCGUUAGUCUGGAGAUUGGUACAUAAAUAAUGCCAUUAAACCUUAUCAGAUAAAUAAAUUUAGCAACAGCCGUAUCAGAGAAUAAAUAUACCUUUCAAAACUCAUGUUGUUUCUCUCUACCUAGAUAUUUUUGCAUUCAAAUGGUAUUUCUCAUUUUAGCACACGUAAGGGCCUAUAAACCUGACAGAGAUGAAUUUACUCUAAACAAGAAAUAUGAAAAGACAUUAGGGCUUGACUUAUAGAGUGUGAGCCUCAAUCUGCUGCUGAUUCUUUAAGGUGGUGAUUUUUAACCUUUUUCUUUGUUCUUUUUCUUCUUAUUUUAAUGCAGUGAGCUCUUCUUUAAGGAAAAUCUUUUUUGGAGUUCUGUUCUUUUAAAAAAAACACAGCAGAUGAAAGCACAGUGACUCUGAUUGAAGCAGGGAGUCUGGGCUCAGAGCUGUGCUCACUUAAUUCUAGCUCCUUUUGGUCCCAAAGCCUCUAGGGAAUCCUCAAGACACCAUGGACCAUGGAUUAAAACACUUCUUUUAAGAAAAAACGUGCUAAAUACUUUUUUAAAAGAGUAAGCUGUCAAUUGAAAAGACAAUUCUUUCUUUUUUGAAAAGAAAAUUCUUAAUGCCGUGUAGUUGAAUGGGUUAUGAAAAGUUCCUUGACCCUUGUUACCCAUCUUUACUGCCUUUAGACAUGAGUGCUGUGCUAUGAUUUAUCGAAGAAAAAAAGCACCGAAAAAAAUCAGCCUCUUGAAGUUAUACAUACACUGCCAUACACAAACAUACAUAAUUAAGAAAAGAAUUGCUUUCUUCUUAAAUAUCUUCAACUACCAAGUAGAACUAUCAGGUGAGAGAUGGAGAUAAUCAGAAGAACAUAUGCACAUGCUCACAUGUGUGUGCACGUGCACAACAUACACACAAUUUGUUGCAUGUGGUCGACCAGUGCCUUUUUCUCAACCCAUGCGUCUGCAGCAUCCCUCACAUUCUGAAUCUAAUGUGCAGAGUCUACACAGACAGGGAAUUUUGAGGUUAGCCUACCAAAAUCAUUACUUAAGGACUUGUUUUUGGUGACGCAUUAUGGGAAGUUAUUUGUUAAUUUCCUCAAUAAACCUGUAUUGACCAUUGAACCCUUCAGUGCAAGGCACUGAGGGAUGGCAGAAGACAAGGGUCCUGCCCUGGAGGAGAAAAUCCAUUGCGAUAAGUGCUAGACUAGGGGAGGCAUAGGAUUUGUGAUAACACACAGGAGAAGCAUCUAAUUUAGAUUCGGAGAGUCAGGGGUGGACUUCCCAGUGGAGUGGCCUUUAAGCAAACCUGAGAGGUGGUGGCCAGGACAAAGAACGGUGGGAGGAGUGAUGAAGACAGAAGGAAAAAUGUGUAAGGGGCAGGAGACAGUAAAAGCAUGACAUAUUCUAGAAAUUGCAUGCUAAGGAGCACAAUAUGCUAAUGAAAGAGGAGAAAUCAUGAGACUAGGGACCUAACCCUGCUUAUUAGGUCGUGUGUUAAAUCUAAGGUGCUUGUUAUGUUACAGGAAAUGGAAAGUUAGCGAAGGCUUUCAAGCCAGAGAAGUUAUCCGUUUUAUUUUUUUCAGCAGAGGGCAACUUGGUUAACUCCUGUGUUGACCUUGGGGCGGCUGUUUGGAUGCUACAGUCAUUCUCUGCGAGUAGAAGGACCAGACUAUAGAAUACUGUGUAGUUUGUCUUUCCAUAACACCCCAACUGCCUCUCUCUUUUAUGAAAUUUAUCUUUCUUCUUGUAUUUUUAUGGCCCUCUGAACCUUAUCGCAAGGCCAGCGUCAUUCAAAAGAACAACGGUUAAUGUUCAGUCUCUAUAUAGACAGAUAUAUCUUCAUUCUUUCAGUAGAGAAGCAGUUUUGAUGCCCAGCACAUAAUAGUUACUCAAUAAAUGUUUAUUGGCAUAAAAGGAGUGAAUACCGAAAGAAAAGAUGCCAGCUCAGUUUUCUCUUUUUUUUGGUAACCCUUACUCUUCCUCCUCCAUGUUCUUUAACUUUAGAGAAUUUCCCUAUCUGCUGUUCUUUAAACCUGCAAAAAGGUCCAAUCAUAGAUAUAUUAGUAGUACUAAUGAUAAUUACUAAAACUGAACAUUUGAAAUAGUUCAGAUUCACAAACUUUCCAUUUUCCUGCUGGUUCCCAAAUUCACCUGACAGUUGAUAUGCAGAUAUAAUAAAGAAUAGUGGAAAACUUUAGUCAGCUCAACAGGAGUACUUUGGGAAUUAUGUAGAAGGGUCAUUUAUAAAUUGAAAAAACUUCCCUGCCAGCAAACUUCAUUUCUAACAUAUAUCUGAGAAUGAUCACAAAGGAAAACACUAUUUUGAAUUUGAUUAAACAACAGUUUAUAAAAUACAUACAUGGUAUUAACUGCUUAUACUAAAUUAACAUUACUCAGUUUACCUUUUGAGGCUAAAUACUCAAUUCUUUAGUACUUCCCAAUUUCAGAGGCUAAGCCAAUCCAUAGUUAGUUUUCAAUGGUUUAUAUCAUUACUGACCUAAUAUAUUUAGGUGGACAUACUUCCUCAUAUUUCACCAGUAGGAACACCUUCAAGGCAGGCCUGUGUGUCCUUUUGAUGUGCUUCCGUGGUUUUUCUAAGCACUUGGCCUAACAAGAUAUUCCAGGCUCAUUCUAUACCUUCCUUGUCCCAGCCCUGGAGUCUCCCCUUUCUUGAAGUGCCCUGGUUCCCUAUUGAGAGGAAUGAUAUUAGAACCUAAGAUCCAGGUACUAGAUACACUCUUUGCUACUGGAAUAUUUUUUUUUUUUUAUGGUCAGUUGAUUUUUAAAAAUAAUUUAAUCUUGUAUUAAGAUAUAGUUUAUUUACAAUGUUGUGUUAGUUUCAGAUGUAUAGCAAAGUGAUUCAGUUAUACAUAUACUUAUAUCCAUUCUUUUUCAGAUUCUUUUCCCUUAUAGGCUAUUACAGAAUGUUGAGUCGAGUUCUCUGUGCUAUACAGUAGGUCCUUGUUGGUUAUCUAUUUUAUAUAUAGCAGAGUGUAUUCGUUGAUAUCAAACUCCUAAUUUAUCUGCCCCCUUCCCCCCAUUACUGGCUUAUCUUUGCUUUUAAGUCUCCAGAGGAUUCUUCCUUGGCUUUCCCCCCUGUAUUUAUAGCUCCCCUUUUCCAAAGAGAGCACCCUGGCUCCCAGCUAACACUGUUUCCUUUCAUUCAGUGCUAUUGUGUAUCUAAAACAGUUUCACAACGGUUUUCCUUAUUUGCAUUUCCCCUUUGCCUACCCCAGUUGAGGUUAUGUAAUUAAAUACUAUGUUCAAAAAUUAACAGGGUUAAAAGAGGGUGCAAGGAAACUUUUGGAGGUGUCUGAUGUGUUGAUGGACUGUAUUGUGGUCAUGGUUUCAUAGUUUAUACUUCGCACGCAUCAAGUUGUAUAUAUUAAAUAUGUAUAGCUUUUGGUAUGUCAGUC
ensembl:lncRNA